rnacentral:rRNA from 1 species
GUCGAGCGAAUCUUUGGGAGCUUGCUCCCAUUGGUUAGCGGCGGACGGGUGAGUAACACGUGGGCAACCUGCCUGUAAGACUGGGAUAACUUCGGGAAACCGGAGCUAAUACCGGAUAAUCUUUUUCCUCUCAUGAGGAAAAACUGAAAGACGGUUUCGGCUGUCACUUACAGAUGGGCCCGCGGCGCAUUAGCUAGUUGGUGAGGUAACGGCUCACCAAGGCGACGAUGCGUAGCCGACCUGAGAGGGUGAUCGGCCACACUGGGACUGAGACACGGCCCAGACUCCUACGGGAGGCAGCAGUAGGGAAUCUUCCACAAUGGACGAAAGUCUGAUGGAGCAACGCCGCGUGAGCGAUGAAGGCCUUCGGGUCGUAAAGCUCUGUUGUUAGGGAAGAACAAGUAUCGGAGUAACUGCCGGUACCUUGACGGUACCUAACCAGAAAGCCACGGCUAACUACGUGCCAGCAGCCGCGGUAAUACGUAGGUGGCAAGCGUUGUCCGGAAUUAUUGGGCGUAAAGCGCGCGCAGGCGGUCCUUUAAGUCUGAUGUGAAAGCCCACGGCUCAACCGUGGAGGGUCAUUGGAAACUGGGGGACUUGAGUGCAGAAGAGGAAAGCGGAAUUCCACGUGUAGCGGUGAAAUGCGUAGAGAUGUGGAGGAACACCAGUGGCGAAGGCGGCUUUCUGGUCUGUAACUGACGCUGAGGCGCGAA